rnacentral:rRNA from 1 species
GAAUGAGCGCAGUCUAAAACCCUGACGGCGACGAUCUAUCGGAGGGCAAGCCUGGUGCCAGCAGCCGCGGUAAUUCCAGCUCCGAUAGCGUAUAUUAAAGCUGCUGCAGUUAAAAAGCUCGUAGUUGGAUCUCGAGGUCGGCGUCGUCGCCGGGGUUUACCUUUUAAAACUCUGGCGGCGUCGCGCCGGGGGUUCGGUCGUCACCGGGGGUUGCGGAGCGCGUCCGCGCGUCUCCGUCUCUCUCGGGGGCUUCCGUCUUUCGCGCGCGGCGUCGUCGGAGCCGGGUAUUGUCCUCGACGGCGGCGUCUCCUUUCAUAAGCGCCGGCUCUCUCCCGUCUGCCGCACUUUACUGGGCGGCGCGGGCGGCCGGCCUUUCACUUUGAAAAAAUUAGAGUGUUCAAAGCGGGCAGGAUGGCCCGGAUAACGUCGCACGGAAUGAUGGAAUAGGACCGCCGUCCCUUCCAGGCCGGUCUCAGGGGGCGGAGGUAAUGAUUGACAGGGACGGCCGGGGGCAUUCGUACCGCGGCGGGAGAGGUGAAAUUCGAUGAUCGCCGCGAGACGUCCGAGAGCGAAAGCAUUUGUCAAGAGCGCUUUCUUUAAUCAAGAACGAAAGUCGGGGGUUCGAAGACGAUCAGAUACCGUCGUAGUCCCGACCGUAAACGAUGCCGACCGGCGACCCGCGGAAGCCUCGACGGGCUGCGCGGGACGCCCCCGGGAAACCAGAGUUUUUGGGUUCCGGGGGGAGUAUGGUCGCAAGGCUGAAACUUAAAGGAAUUGACGGAAGGGCACCACCAGGAGUGGGGUCUGCGGCUUAAUUUGACCCAACACGGGAAAACUCACCCGGUCCGGACACCGCUAGGAUUGACAGACCGAGGCUCUUUCUUGAUUCGGUGGGUGGUGGUGCAUGGCCGUUCUUAGUUGGUGGAGCGAUCUGUCUGGUUAAUUCCGAUAACGAACGAGACUCCGGCCUGCUAGUUAGCGGGUCGGCGAAGGCGCGGAGGGUCGGUAGCGGGCGGGCGGAGGCGGGCGCGCGUGUGGCUUCGUGCCGCGCGCCGUCCUCUCCCCCGUC